rnacentral:rRNA from 1 species
GUGCCAGCCGCCGCGGUAAGACGGAGGAGGCAAGCGUUAUCCGGAAUUAUUGGGCGUAAAGCGUCCGCAGGCGGCUUUUUAAGUCUGUUGUCAAAGCCCACAGCUCAACUGUGGAUCGGCAAUGGAAACUGGGAAGCUAGAGUGUGGUAGGGGUAGAGGGAAUUCCCGGUGUAGCGGUGAAAUGCGUAGAUAUCGGGAAGAACACCAGUGGCGAAGGCGCUCUACUGGGCCACAACUGACGCUGAGGGACGAAAGCUAGGGGAGCGAAAGGGAUUAGAUACCCCCGUAGUCC